rnacentral:rRNA from 1 species
UUUCCGGUUGAUCCCGCCGGACCUGACUGCUAUCGGAUUGAUACUAAGCCAUGCGAGUCUUUGCAGUAAUGCAAGGCAUACGGCUCAGUAACACGUAGUCAACCUACCCUAUGGACGAGAAUAAUCUCGGGAAACUGAGCAUAAUUCUUGAUAGAUCAUAAUGCCUGGAAUGGUUUAUGGUUAAAAUGAUUCGUCGCCAUAGGAUGGGACUGCGGCCUAUCAGCUUGUUGGUGAGGUAAUGGCCCACCAAGGCGAUUACAGGUACGGGCUCUGAGAGGAGAAGCCCGGAGAUGGGUACUGAGACACGGACCCAGGCCCUAUGGGGCGCAGCAGGCGAGAAAACUUUGCAAUGUGCGAAAGCACGACAAGGUUAAUCCGAGUGAUUUCUGCUAAAGAAAUCUUUUGCCAGUCGUAAAACCGCUGGUGAAUAAGGGGUGGGCAAGUUCUGGUGUCAGCCGCCGCGGUAAAACCAGCACCUCAAGUGGUCAGGAUGAUUAUUGGGCCUAAAGCAUCCGUAGCCGGCUUUGUAAGUUUUCGGUUAAAUCCAUGUGCUCAACGCAUGGGCUGCCGAAAAUACUGCAUAGCUAGGGAGUGGGAGAGGUAGACGGUACUCAGUAGGUAGGGGUAAAAUCCUUUGAUCUAUUGAUGACCACCUGUGGCGAAGGCGGUCUACCAGAACACGUUCGACGGUGAGGGAUGAAAGCUGGGGGAGCAAACCGGAUUAGAUACCCGGGUAGUCCCAGCUGUAAACGAUGCAGACUAGAUGAUGCAUUGGCAUAAUAGCCAUUGCAGUGUCUCAGGGAAGCCGUUAAGUCUGCCGCCUGGGAAGUACGUACGCAAGUAUGAAACUUAAAGGAAUUGGCGGGGGAGCACCACAAGGGGUGAAGCCUGCGGUUCAAUUGGAGUCAACGCCGGG